rnacentral:piRNA from 1 species
UAAUCUGAUCGGACCAGCGCAUGGGACUAC